AGAUUGAACGCUGGCGGCAUGCCUUACACAUGCAAGUCGAACGGUAGAGUAGCAAUACUCGAGAGUGGCGAACGGGUGAGUAAUAUAUCGGAACGUGCCCAGUCGUGGGGGAUAACGUAGAGAAAUUUACGCUAAUACCGCAUACGAUCUAAGGAUGAAAGCGGGGGAUCGCAAGACCUCGCGCGAUUGGAGCGGCUGAUAUCAGAUUAGGUUGUUGGUGAGGUAAAAGCUCACCAAGCCGACGAUCUGUAGCUGGUUUGAGAGAACGACCAGCCACACUGGGACUGAGACACGGCCCAGACUCCUACGGGAGCAGCAGUGGGAAUUUUUGGACAAGUGGCGAAAGCCUGAUCCAGCAAUGCCGCGUGCAGGAAGAACGGCCGUUCGGGUUAGUAAACGUGUCGUUUUUGUAACGGAACCGUAAAAGGACUUACGUUUACCUUAAAGUAAAGGUAACGGGUACC
rnacentral:rRNA from 1 species